rnacentral:rRNA from 1 species
GGGUCAGUAGGUUGGUCGUGCCACCGGUACGUACUGGUCUCACUGAUUCCUCCUUCCUGAAGAACCGUAAUGCCAUUAAUUUGGUGUUGCGGGGAAACAGGACUGUUACUUUGAAAAAAUUAGGGUGUCUAAAGCAAGCUAACGCUUGAAUACAUUAGCAUGGAAUAAUGAAAUAGGACGAUCGAUCCUAUUUUGUUGGUUUCUAGGAUUGACGUA